rfam:Trichoderma gamsii strain T6085 Scaffolds0019.1, whole genome shotgun sequence.
GGGCGGAUGGUUUAGUGGUAUAAUUUUCCCUUAGCAUCAAGCAACCUUCGAGCUGCUUAACCGCAUGGGAAAGGUCCGGGGUUCGAUUCCCCGUUCGUCCA